AUUAAACGCUGGCGGCAGGCCUAACACAUGCAAGUCGAGCGGAUGAGUGGAGCUUGCUCCAUGAUUCAGCGGCGGACGGGUGAGUAAUGCCUAGGAAUCUGCCUGGUAGUGGGGGACAACGUUUCGAAAGGAACGCUAAUACCGCAUACGUCCUACGGGAGAAAGUGGGGGAUCUUCGGACCUCACGCUAUCAGAUGAGCCUAGGUCGGAUUAGCUAGUUGGUGAGGUAAAGGCUCACCAAGGCGACGAUCCGUAACUGGGCUGAGAGGAUGAUCAGUCACACUGGAACUGAGACACGGUCCAGAUUCCUACGGGAGGCAGCAGUGGGGAAUAUUGGACAAUGGGCGAAAGCCUGAUCCAGCCAUGCCGCGUGUGUGAAGAAGGUCUUCGGAUUGUAAAGCACUUUAAGUUGGGAGGAAGGGCAGUAAGUUAAUACCUUGCUGUUUUGACGUUACCAACAGAAUAAGCACCGGCUAACUUCGUGCCAGCAGCCGCCGUAACAC
rnacentral:rRNA from 1 species